rnacentral:lncRNA from 1 species
GGGGUGAGGAAAGCGGCCAGGCAAGGAAGCCUUCUGAUUUUCCGCAGGUCUUGUAUUUGGCAGUGCCAACCAACAUACUGAGCUAUUUCCUGAUUGCCCGGGAGUGUAUCCAGCCUUGCUGCCCCCAUAUCAGGGUUCACAGUACCCAGACUUAACCCCUGCAAAAAACUCCGCCCUUCAAACCAGCAUCAGUGAAUAGAAAAAAAUGUUUCACUAGUCAGUCAUCAGCGCUACAGACUGGGAACAGCUCAAGCCUUUCAUGAGAGUUCUUCCUUUGGGGGUUUGUAUGUGUCAUCUCAUUAGAGGAGUUUGCCAGCUCCUACAUCGGCAGUCUCCACCCCGUAGACACACUGCAGUAUAAUAGACAGACUCUGAUAUUAAGAAAUGGAGAUUACAGGUGUAGAAAAUGUGACUUCCCAGAGUCACCAACAGUACAAAAAGUUGAGAUGCAGGAAUGUUAUACAGAGCAAACUUCUAAAUGCCCAGCACGGUAAUAAGAUAGGUCCCACCUUCACGGGGUCGCUAGGCAACAUGCAUGCCAGCAAGCACCACUGUAGGUUUACCUGUAGCAUCGGUAGAUUGGCUCAAUGGGAAGCUGAGGUUAAAUUCCACUGAGGCUGCACUUUGAAGAAGCAUAAUAAAUUUGUGGUAGUGCUGUCUCCCCUGUGAGGAAUACGCCUCGAUAGUUGGCAUUCACAUUCUCUUUCUCAAAUUGCUUCUAAAAGCAUUAUUCUGUCCGGAAUGACAGAAAUCCCUGAGGUUGCCGGAUCAGGCCUGGAAACCACCUUGGGAUUCAGACACCAGGAGAGGUGACCUUGAGUCCAGGGUUGGCUAUGAGCAUGGGAACCCUUGGGGACUUUUUCCGUAAAGUAAGAAGCCUCGAAUAGAAGAUUUGAAAGGCUCCUUUCAGCUCAGAUAAGGUAAAAUGUUUUGAAAAAGCUUUCUAAGAUGUUUGAGUCAAAAAAAACGUAUGUGAGAGAAUGCAUUAUGGAAUUUGCUCUCAAUGUAUUCUACUUAAAAUGUCAGUAUUCUCUCUGUACUUUGGGAUAUCUGUUUAUUGUGUUAUAUUUUUAAUGGAAGCUAUAAAAUAUUAGGUGACAUAUAUUAUACUGCACAUUAGACUUAUGGGUCUUAGAGAAACAUCUUGAUAAAGAAGGCAACGGAUACACUCAAGUGAAAAGUCAUCUUAACGAGGCCCUUCUGUUCUUUGUGGUACAUCAGGAACAAAGAUGUAUUGGAAUAAACCUUGCUGACUAACUCCAGACUAUUCUGUAUUUGCAUAGCAUUGACAGACAUACUAGUGGUUUUAUUUAUUUAUUUUCAAUCAGAUGCUUAGAACGAGAUUAGUAAAAAUCUUUCUUUUCACAACUCUCUGUCGCCACCUUGCCAUUUUUAAUUUGGUCUCCUUUUUAAUUAAAACAUUAAUAGUUACUC